GGUUGUAUGGUGUAGUGGUUAUCACUCCAGAUUUUGACAUUUGAUAAUAAAUUUCUGGCAACCCCGGUUCGAGCCCGGGUACGACCU